UUGGUUUCAGAGUCUCCACAACCUGUUGCCUUAGUUGGACAUGAUGAUGACUGGAGACUGCAACAGCAAGAUACCUCUAACUCCAAUAAUUCUAAUGUCAAAACAUUGUUUAAUUGGCUCUCAGAAACACUUGCAAAUGCGCAUCUCUGACAGACACAGUGAACAAAGCCUUAGGAUUGAGUACUGAUGAUGCCUAUGAAGAAGAACUGAGACAUGAGUAUGAGUUAAACUGUGCGUCAGAUAGGAAAGAUUAUGUGCAGUCAACUUGCGCAAAAAUUGAAAAUGUACAUUUUAAGAAUGCUCAGAGUCCACAGCUAGAAGUUGACACAUCUUUACAGUUUCCUGUUACUAUUUCUGCUGGUGAAAUAGGCACUGACCAUAAGCUGCAUUUGAUAGAAGAUGCAAAUUUAAUUAACGUCAAUAAUUUUGAAGAGUGCAGUUUGUGUCCCACUGUUCCCAUCGAACAUGGAUUCCAUAGACAACAGUCUAAGUCAAGUAAUGUUGAAGAGACUGAAAUACACUGGAAAUUGAUUCCCAUUACAGGAACAAAUGCAAGAAGUCCAGAAGAC